GACGAAGGUGGCGAGCGUUGUUCGGAAUCACUGGGCAUAAAGCGCACGUAGGCGGCUAAGUAAGUCGGAUGUGAAAUACCUCGGCUCAACCGAGGAACUGCGUCCGAUACUGCUUGGCUUGAGGUCCGGAGGGGAGAGUGGAAUUCCCGGUGGAGCGGUGAAAUGCGUAGAGAUCGGGAAGAACGCCGGCGGCGAAAGCGACUCUCUGGUCGGAAUCUGACGCUGAGGCGCGAAAGCUAGGGGAGCAAACGGG
rnacentral:rRNA from 1 species